GACGAACGCUGGCGGCGUGCUUAACACAUGCAAGUCGAACGGUGAAGCUCCAGCUUGCUGGAGUGGAUCAGUGGCGAACGGGUGAGUAACACGUGAGCAACCUGCCCCUGACUCUGGAAUAAGCGCUGGAAACGGCGUCUAAUACUGGAUACGAGAAGGGCCCGCAUGGGCACUUUCUGGAAAGUUUUUCGGUUGGGGAUGGGCUCGCGGCCUAUCAGCUUGCUGGUGAGGUAAUGGCUCACCAAGGCGACGACGGGUAGCCGGCCUGAGAGGGCGACCGGCCACACUGGGACUCAGACACGGCCCAGACUCCUACGGGAGGCAGCAGUGGGGAAUAUUGCACAAUGGGCGAAAGCCUGAUGCAGCGACGCCGCGUGAGGGAUGACGGCCUUCGGGUUGUAAACCUCUUUCAGCAGGGAAGAAGCGAAAGUGACGGUACCUGCAGAAGAAGCACCGGCUAACUACGUG
rnacentral:rRNA from 1 species